AAUUGACAGAGAGGUCGGCCCCAUGGCAAGCGGCUGACCCCCUGCCAGCUUGAUUUUCUUGCUCCCUUCUUUCUUUUCUUUUCCUUUCCUUCCUUCUCUGCUUCGAUGGAGUUAACUGAGCCUUCCUUCCUUCAUUUCCUUCGUUCAUUGCUCUGCAACCGGCCACAAUUAAUUUCGUCCCCACUGCUCCUCAGCAGUUGCUAUCUGCAACUGAUCACGGCAAUCACCAUCACUACCAUCAGCAUCAAUCUCAGCUCCGAUCUUCUUCUUCGGUUUCUUCCUUCAACUCCCGCAGACCAGAACAUUCUCAGCGGCUUCUCCUGCAUCAGGCCAUCUCCAUCUCUUCCUUCUCUCAAUCCAUCAUCCAUCGCCCUCAACAUAUCCUCACCAUCAGCUCCCUCUCUCACUCACUCUCUCUGUCCUGUCCUCAUCACCAUCUUUUCGGUUGCUCACUCCAUUCCUUUUGCUUUGGCUGAUGCUCUCCCAUUUGGACUGUUUGUGCUCCCUCAUUGCUUCUUCUUCUUUUUUUUUUUUUCCCUGUCCGGGGGGACCAUCUUCUGCAUCUUCAUUCCCUGCUUGACUCCUUAUCUACAGGAUCAUCUUCAUCCAUCUCGGGCCCUCCCUCUCGAAAAAAGGACAGCCUUCAUCUCAAGAUGAACUUUCAUCCUGCUCUUGAGAUCAUGGAAGGUUCCAAUGCACCUAGGGCAAGGAUGCAGGCUGAAGCAUCGCGGGCGGGGCUUCCACUGCGUGUCAUGCAGAUUGUCUUCGCUGUUGCCAUGAUAAGUGUCGUGGCAAUAGCCCAUGAGUUUUCUUCCAUCCCCACUUUUCGGUUUCUUGCAGCAGCCUUUGGGUUACAGUGCUUUUGGAGCAUUUUUAUGGUGUUGAUGGACCUUUAUGCCUUACACUCGGGGCAUAAAUGGAACACCAAGCUGGUCUUGACCCUAUUCACAGUUGGUGAUGGGGUCACCUUUAUACUGACCCUUGUUGCGGUAUGUGCAUCCGCUGGGGUGGCAGUUCUCAUCGAGCGGGAUCGCAGGAGCUGUAUCCUGAGCGUCUGCGCUCAGUUUCGAGUUGCCACAGCAGUAGGUUUCAUUGGUUGGUCUGUGACUGUUCCGUGUUUCUUCUUUAGCUACUGCUCACUAUUCUCUCCAUGAGUACAUAGUAUUCUGUAAGCUAGUCAGCUCAACAAAAUCUAAGAAUAUGUAGAAUGCGUUUUCCUUUGUUUUGAAGCUGUAUCCAUUUUGAAAAUUAAUCUAGAGGAGACAGAGAUUGUAGAUUGUUCAUGUCAGAUCUGAUCAUGCUAAUAGUAAUGUUCCUGCUGAUAUCCUGAGUUGCCAUAUUGGCUUUCCUUUUACCUUAUCUUUGUUUGCCUCUCAGAGCAAAAGCGAGAAAUGAAGAUGUUUUGGAAUGUUAGUAUUGAUAAAAUGGAGGGAAAGUUUGCAGGUUGGAAAAAGAUGUACUUAUCGAGGUGUUGAGGUGACUCUUAUAACAGCUUCUUUAUCAUGUCUUAUUUCAUGUCCAUUCUUGUCAUCCCGAAAUCAGUUGCUACAUUCAAUUCAUUGUUCAGCUUAAUAUCCCAGAACUACAUUCAAUUCCCAAGUAACUCAUCCAUAUUCUUUAAGGACCGAGCACAAUUCAUUGUUCGGCUUAAUAUCCCAGAAUUUUGUUCUAAUGGCCUCAGCCUCUGAGUUUCUUCCCAGGGUGAUCUUCCACAUCCGAGCACUGGACCCUUUAAAGGCUUAAAACUUGCCGUCUCACCAGUCAUAGGAAACUAUUCCCAAAACCUCAAAAGGGUUCACUUCAGAGUUGAAUUAGCAUCUUCAACUCAUUCCACAGAGCUUGGGAGACAACUUGCUCAAGUCACAGGAUGUUAGCAUCCACUUCCUCAAAGUUAACCCGCCAUAUGGCAUCAAAACCAGAAACUAAUGGGAGAAAUUGCAACCCAUUCCCAUAGCAAGCUCGGUUUUACUGGAUAAUAUAAUAGGAUGAGAUUGCAUCGUGAGGAGAAAGCCACUGAAUAGACCAGAUCGCUUCUUAGCUGAUUAGGGACAUUUGAAGGGCUUCGUUUCGAGAGCUAGCAUUCCGACAGUUUUUGGCUGACUUUUAUCUUUCAGCCUGUUUCUGUUCUGACUCAGUUUCAUUUUAAUUAUAACAUUCCUCUCCACAGCUUCUUUUUGGCCAGUUGAAUGCCUUUACUAAAACUCCAAUCCCUGUUUCACCAGUAGCUUGAUCAUAUACAUCAUCACAAUCGAUUUUUACAAAACGAUCAGGGGGUGUCCGCCAUUUCUCAGGAGGUUUAGCCAUCUUCUCCCUCUCCCUCUGAACAGGUCUCUGAGAUUUUAUGACCCCAGCCAGCCUCAUAUAAUCUUUGGCAGCAGCUAAACAGCUGCAAACAGUAUUCUCAGCACCUGUGCCAGCCUGCUUCUGAGCAGUACUGCAUCACAUCCCUCCUUCCAGAUAUCAGCAACCUGCUGCUAAUAAUUAGGCAUGAGAAUGAAUUGAUACAACAUAGAAUUGACAUGAACAUCAAAGUCGAGUAUUUCCAUCCUUUAACUGGAGGAGGAAGGACUGUUGCACUGUCCGAUAUUGUUGUUCUUCGCAAUAUCCUGCAAGGCUGUGACCUCUGCGAGACCUCGAUGAUACAGGCAGCAGCUCUCUGCAAGUAUCUUGAGUCAUUCUAUACCUUGCACAAGGCAAGUCGUGGAAAGACACUGACAUUGUGAAUCUACUCUUAGGACCUUCAUCAGUUUUUUGAGAUUGUUUUAUAACAGGCAUUCAAGUCUUCGUUGGAAAAAAUUCUAGAUUAGAGGAAGAAGACUGAUUACUAUGCUCGUGUAUGCUCUUGAUCUGUAUGAAGAUAAAUAGGAAGAAGUAUUAGGAGAAAGUAGCGAUGACAUUGUUUGCAGCCUGUUGCAUAAAUGAAUUAAUACGUUAGCAGGGGCACUGUGCAAAGUCCUCUGUGCUUCACCUGACCCAGAAAGGAAGCAGAUCCGACAGGGCUUGCUUCGAUUAUCUGAGUCUUGGGGAAGUAUUCUCAAAAGGACCAAUUACUCUCCUCUUAGGCUAGAACCCUCAUCAGCCUUUGCUCUUGGUACUCCAUUUCUUUGAUGUGGCAAUCUAUGCUGUUGGCUGCUUGAUGCUGCCGUUCCCUUCACCUGAUCGCAUCUGGAUCGGUGCCAGACUGAUCUUGGGCGCCUCGGGUAUCAUAUUCUUCAUCAUUAAAGCUGAAGGAGUGAGGCAAAUGUUCUUCCCCGCCACUGGACCAGCACGUAUAUUAUUGAGCUCCCCUGGUUCACUGAACAUCCCAAGAACAACCAUUAGCAGCAAAUCCAAUGGGUCUUUUCCCUCGUGAUGAACUUUCGGGCUCCUUGUCCACUGAGAACGGGAAAAAUUUCUUGUGAAAAAGAAUGGACUUCCAUUUUGGUCUAAUUUAGGACUUGUGCAUGUCCUCUGCUCUUAGUCCAAAAGUGUGUAAAAUUGUCAAAAUUUGCUGAUUAUUUCUUAAUAUGUUUCACAUGGACUGGCAAAGCACUCUCCGUUAAUGAAUCUUGGUCUUCCCAUUGCUUUCUUCUU